rnacentral:rRNA from 1 species
UACAGAGGUCUCAAGCGUUGUUCGGAUUCAUUGGGCGUAAAGGGUGCGUAGGUGGCGGGGUAAGUCGGGGGUGAAAUCCUGGGGCUCAACCUCAGAAUUGCCUCCGAUACUGGCAGUCUCGAGUGCGGGAGAGGUGAGUGGAAUUCCCAGUGUAGAGGUGAAAUUCGUAGAUAUUGGGAAGAACACCAGUGGCGAAGGCGGCUCACUGGCCCGUAACUGACGCUGAGGUGCGAAAGCGUGGGGAGCAAACAGG